rnacentral:rRNA from 1 species
UACAGAGGGGGCAAGCGUUGUUCGGAAUUACUGGGCGUAAAGGGCGCGUAGGCGGCCUUCUAAGUCGAACGUGAAAUCCCCGGGCUCAACCCGGGAACUGCGUCCGAGACUGGGAGGCUUGAAUCCGGGAGAGGGAUGUGGAAUUCCAGGUGUAGCGGUGAAAUGCGUAGAUAUCUGGAGGAACAUCGGUGGCGAAGGCGGCAUCCUAGACCGGUAUUGACGCUGAGGCGCGAAAGCCAGGGGAGCAAACGGG